AUAUUUGCAACAGUCUUGUGGCGCCCCCAGCCUACCUUCAGUGAUUUUGGUUACUCGUUGCAGUCUCAACUGCAGCGAUCUUGCCAAUCUUGCGGCCGUUGACCAAUGCUGGUAGAUUAUAGAUUAUACACUAUAUCAGGUGCAUGGCUUCGCAAGAACUGCUACCAACGAAGAUGGUCCCACGUGCAGUCUUCCGGAUAACGGUUGAGCGAUUAUCUCGUAUGCCUGACGUUUCGAGGCCAGAUGACUGAACCCGCAGGAGUGCAUAUCUCCAAUGACAUGUGGGAUGCACGAAAUUCUGAGGCAGCAAAAGCGUGUGUUACCCAAGGAAGGUCCAGAAUGUGUUGCAGUGAUGUGGAUGAAGAGACUCGAGUAGUGGAUAGUUGCGGCUAAUGGUGGAGUUUCUCCCUGACCCCUGUUGGCCAUAGGGCGACCUCAGGUGUGUAACAGCUCAAGGUGCGGUGCCCAGUUUCUUCGUGGACCCACGCAGAGUUCGUGUUGCUGCCUUGAGUAUCGCUGCAUUCCUGUGAAAGAACAAAGAAAAGGCUGUCAUUUCUCGAAGAUCACUGCCGAUUUCCCAGAUGUGCCGGGAGGUUUUCGCGCAGGAAUCGGUUUCAACUAAUCCAAGCAUUCCGUCGGCUGAGCCAGAAUGACCUGUACAGGGUUUUUGCCGGCUACAAGGACAUACGCAGGAUUCAAAUGGUGAUCGAUGCCCUGGAACAGUGCCCCACAACGCCAGUGCGAGACAUUGCAAAGUCUAUAGGAUUGUCAAAGACUUUGUUAUACAGUAUUCUUGGUGAUGCAUCUCUGAGACUGAACUUGACAGAAGAUGCCUGACGUUUUGAGGAAUCCAGUUGACGGAAUCCACAGGAGUGCAUAUAUCCAAUGGCACGUGGAAUGCACGUAAUUCUGAUACAGCAAACGUGUGAGGAAGAGACUCGAGUAGUGGAUAGUUGUGGCUAAUGGUGGAGGAUUAUCGCUACAUUCCUGUGAAAGAACAAAGAGGUGGAUGUCAUUUCUUGAAGAUCACUGCCAAUUUCCCAGAUGGAGAUUUUCACCCCGGAAUCGGUUUCAACUAGUCCAAGCAUACCGUCGGCUGAGCCAGAAUGACCUGUACAGGGUGUUUGCCGGCUACAAGGACAUACGCAGGAUUCGAAUGGUGAUCGAUGCCCUGGAACAGUGCCCCACAACGCCAGUGCGAGACAUUGCAAAGUCUAUAGGAUUGUCAAAGACUUUGUUAUACAGUAUUCUUGGUGAUGCGUCACUCAGAUUGAACUUGACAGAAGGUACAUGGUGAUAAAAUAAAUAAUGCUGC